UCUCCGUUGGUGAACCAGCGGGGGGAUCAUUACCGAGUUUACAACUCCCAAACCCAAUGUGAACCAUACCAAACUGUUGCCUCGGCGGGGUCACGCCCCGGGUGCGUCGCAGCCCCGGAACCAGGCGCCCGCCGGGGGGACCAACCAAACUCUUUCUGUAGUCCCCUCGCGGACGUUAUUUUUACAGCUCUGAGCAAAAAUUCAAAAUGAAUCAAAACUUUCAACAACGGAUCUCUUGGUUCUG
rnacentral:misc_RNA from 1 species